CUCAACAUUGGCCAUCUCCCCGUGAGUCAUCAUCGCACGCAGCUCGUCGGCCAUCUCCUCAUGGGUCUCCAUUGCACGCAGCUCAACGUCGGCCAUCUACUCGUCAACGUCAGCCAUCUUCAUGCCCACAGCUAUCUCCAAGUGGGUCUUCAUCACACGCAGCUCAUUAUUGUUCAUCUCCGAGCCCCCAGUCAUCUCCCCGCCUUUCUUCGUCGCACGCAAUGGAAUCUCAGUGGUUAUCGUCACGCUUAUCUCAGUCAUCGUCCUGCCCAGUGCCAUCUAAUCAGUCCUCAUUCUCUGCACAAAGGUCACACCUAAGCUCCAAAAAUGCUACAGAACUAUUCAAGCCAUCUUUCAGAGUGGGGCAAUCUGAGAUGGAGCACAUACCUUGCUCUGUUGCAGAACGGUACAUGCUACAUCUGCUUGAAUAUCAGAAACAGCAGCUAAACCAACUGAUGGCUAUGGUCAACUCAAUGCCUGGGAGAACAAACAAUGAAUGUCCAUCUGAACUGCC